UACGAGAGGCCCAAACGUUAUUCGGAAGUACUGGGCUUAAAGAGUUCGUAGGCGGCGCAGAAAGUAGGGUGUGAAAGCCCUCGGCUCAACCGAGGAAUUGCGCUCUAAACUACUGUGCUUGAGGAAUCUAGAGGUGAGCGGAACUGAUGGUGGAGCGGUGAAAUGCGUUGAUAUCAUCAGGAACACCGGAGGCGAAGGCGGCUCACUGGGGAUUUUCUGACGCUGAGGAACGAAAGCCAGGGGAGCGAACGGG
rnacentral:rRNA from 1 species